UACAUGGGGUGCAAACGUUGCUCGGAAUUAUUGGGCGUAAAGCGCACGUAGGCGGUCCGUUAAGUCGGAUGUGAAAGCCCCCGGCUCAACCGGGGAAGUGCAUCCGAAACUGGCGGGCUAGAGUACGAAAGAGGGUCGCGGAAUUCCCGGUGUAGAGGUGAAAUUCGUAGAUAUCGGGAGGAACACCGGUGGCGAAGGCGGCGACCUGGGUCGAUACUGACGCUGAGGUGCGAAAGCGUGGGAGCAAACAGG
rnacentral:rRNA from 1 species